GAGCGGACAGAUGGGAGCUUGCUCCCUGAUGUUAGCGGCGGACGGGUGAGUAACACGUGGGUAACCUGCCUGUAAGACUGGGAUAACUCCGGGAAACCGGGGCUAAUACCGGAUGGUUGUUUGAACCGCAUGGUUCAAACAUAAAAGGUGGCUUCGGCUACCACUUACAGAUGGACCCGCGGCGCAUUAGCUAGUUGGUGAGGUAACGGCUCACCAAGGCAACGAUGCGUAGCCGACCUGAGAGGGUGAUCGGCCACACUGGGACUGAGACACGGCCCAGACUCCUACGGGAGGCAGCAGUAGGGAAUCUUCCGCAAUGGACGAAAGUCUGACGGAGCAACGCCGCGUGAGUGAUGAAGGUUUUCGGAUCGUAAAGCUCUGUUGUUAGGGAAGAACAAGUACCGUUCGAAUAGGGCGGUACCUUGACGGUACCUAACCAGAAAGCCACGGCUAACUACGUGCCAGCAGCCGCGGUAAUACGUAGGUGGCAAGCGUUGUCCGGAAUUAUUGGGCGUAAAGGGCUCGCAGGCGGUUUCUUAAGUCUGAUGUGAAAGCCCCCGGCUCAACCGGGGAGGGUCAUUGGAAACUGGGGAACUUGAGUGCAGAAGAGGAGAGUGGAAUUCCACGUGUAGCGGUGAAAUGCGUAGAGAUGUGGAGGAACACCAGUGGCGAAGGCGACUCUCUGGUCUGUAACUGACGCU
rnacentral:rRNA from 1 species